rnacentral:rRNA from 1 species
AUUAGAGUUUGAUCCUGGCUCAGGACGAACGCUGGCGGCGUGCCUAACACAUGCAAGUCGAACGAAACUUUUUGCUUCGGUAGAAAGUUUAGUGGCGGACGGGUGAGUAACGCGUGAGGAACCUGCCUUUCAGAGGGGGAUAAUGUCUGGAAACGGACACUAAUACCGCAUGACAUUUUCUGUUCACAUGGACAGAAAAUCAAAGGAGCAAUCUGCUGAAAGAUGGACUCGCGUCCGAUUAGCUAGAUGGUGAGAUAAUAGCCCACCAUGGCGACGAUCGGUAGCCGGACUGAGAGGUUGAACGGCCACAUUGGGACUGAGACACGGCCCAGACUCCUACGGGAGGCAGCAGUGGGGGAUAUUGCACAAUGGAGGAAACUCUGAUGCAGCAACGCCGCGUGAAGGAAGACGGUCUUCGGAUUGUAAACUUUUGUACCUAGGGACGAUAAUGACGGUACCUAGGCAGCAAGCUCCGGCUAACUACGUGCCAGCAGCCGCGGUAAUACGUAGGGAGCGAGCGUUGUCCGGAUUUACUGGGUGUAAAGGGUGCGUAGGCGGCCAAGCAAGUCAGCUGUGAAAACUAUGGGCUUAACCCAUAGCCUGCAAUUGAAACUGUUUGGCUUGAGUGAAGUAGAGGUAGGUGGAAUUCCCGGUGUAGCGGUGAAAUGCGUAGAGAUUGGGAGGAACACCAGUGGCGAAGGCGACCUACUGGGCUU